rnacentral:tRNA from 1 species
AAAGAAAUAUCCAUAAAAAGCUUCUAACUUUUUUAAAAGCACUAAAAUGU